UCGAGGAUAUUCGACAAUGGGCGAAAGCCUGAUCGAGCGACGCCGCAUGGUGGAUGAAGUCCUUCGGGACGUAAACAUCUUUUAUGAGGGAGGAAGUUAUUGACGUUACCUCAUGAAUAAGGGGCUCCUAACUCUGUGCCAGCAGGAGCGGUAAUACAGAGGCCCCAAGCAUUACCCGGAAUCACUGGGCGUAAAGGGUGUGUAGGCGGUUGUAUUAGUCGUUUGUUAAAUCCCGGGGCUUAACUCCGGA
rnacentral:rRNA from 1 species